GUGAGUGUCUUUCUGUGACCUUUUGACAUCAUAGGGCUGAAACUCCACCCUCCAAUUGCACUAAGCACCUCCAUUUUAGAAUGUGCUGAUCCCUGGAGCUUAGUUACACCUGAGCAGAAUGAUGACUAUUGCAGCUUUUCCCAAUCCUUUCCCCAUCCUCCCCAUGCCUGAGACCACUCUACUUCUUUACUUACGAUUCUACAAAUACCCUUAGUCCUUGACUUUGCAGAGGGCUGCUCCAUGGGGACCGAGUCUUGACCGCUGUGGGCAUAUAGGAACCAUUCAAAAAUAGGCCUCGUAUAAGCGUGUGGUGUGGGGGAAGGUUCCUGGAGACAAGUACAGCAAGACAGUGACGAGUAAAGACUCUUAUUCUGUGCUAACGAGGGCAUUCUCCUUCUGAACAUGGUUACCACAACAAACAGAAGAAGGCUGGAGGUAUCUGCCAGAGAGUAAACAAAAGCAAAACCCCUCCUGAGGAUCGCCAAGCAAAGGGAUGGAAACCAUGUGCGUGACUCCCCUGGAAAGCCUGGCUGAGGCAGCCAGGAGCACAAGCCGUGUUCAUGAGUCCUGGGCUGGGAGCAAAGCUGCAUGUGCCUUGCACACGGCGGGCGCUCAAGGAGAGCACCCACAGGAGAGGACAGAUACAGACACGCUUCUUUCCUGCUUUGGAAGGGCGAGGAUUAGAGCUAGGGUGCAGGCGGUUUCAGUCCUGGGAGCUUUUUCAUUUGUAAGGGGUCAGAAUAGGCGUGUUAAGAUGGCCAUCUCUGAAGAAACUACCUAGAACUUUGUCAUCAUGGAAAUAUUGAGCUUGGGAUGAUGGUCAAUGCCAGGCUGUGUGUGCAAGUGCCAUCACUUCAGUCAGGUCUGACUCUUUGUGACCCCUGUAGGGACUGUAGGCCUGCCAGGCUCCUUUGUCCAUGGGAUGUUCUGGGCUAGAAUACUGGAGCACGUUGCCAUUUCCCCCUCUGGGCGAUCUUCCUGACCCAGGGAUCAAACACAUGUCUCCUGCAUUGGCAGAUGGAUUCUUUACCACUAAGCCACCUGAAUGAGUGAGUGAGUGAAAGUCGCUCCGUCGUGUCUGACUCAGUGCGACCCCAUGGACUGUCCAUGGAAUUCCCCCAGCCAGGAUACUGGAGUGAGUAGCCUUUCCCUUCUCCAGGGGAUCUUCCCGAGCCAGGAGUCGAACCAGGGUCCUCCCGCAUUGCAGGCGGAUUAUUUACCAACUGAGCUAUCAGGGAAGCCCCUUAAUGCCAGGUUGAAAAGCCAAAGUGAAAGUCACUCAGUCAUGUCUAACUCUUUGGGACCCCAUUGACAAUAGAGUCCAUGGAAUUCUCCAGGCCAGAAUACUAGAGUGGGUAGCUGUUUCCUUCUCCAGGGGAUCUUCCCAACCCAGGGAUCAAACCCAGGUCUCCCACAUUGCAGGCAGAUUCUUUUUUAAUUAAUUUAUUUUUUAACUGA
ensembl:lncRNA